AGAGUUUGAUCCUAGCUCAGGGUGAAUGCUAGCGGUGCGCCUAACACAUGCAAGUCGAGCGGUAGAUUCUUUUAGCUUGCUAAAAGAAUUGAGAGCGGCGAACGGGUGAGUAACACGUUGAUAUCUGCCCCCCAGUCAGGGAUAACCCAGGGAAACCUGGACUAAUACCGGAUAGUCUCUUUGGAGUAAAGAUUUAUUGCUGGGGGAGGAGUCUGCGGUCCAUCAGCUAGUUGGUGAGGUAAUAGCUCACCAAGGCUAUGACGGAUAUCUGGUCUGAGAGGAUGAUCAGGCACAAUGGAACUGAGACACGGUCCAUACUCCUACGGGAGGCAGCAGUGAGGAAUCUUCCACAAUGGACGAAAGUCUGAUGGAGCGACACCGCGUGAAGGAUGAAGGUCUAACGAUUGUAAACUUCUUUUCUGAGGGAGCAUAAUGAGAGUACCUCAGGAAUAAGGGACGGCUAAAUACGUGCCAGCAGCCGCGGUAAUACGUAUGUCCCAAGCAUUACCCGGAAUCACUGGGUGUAAAGGGUUCGUAGGUGGAAAAAUAAGUUGGAUAUGAAAGACCGAAGCUCAACUUCGUGUUUGUAUUCAAAACUGUAUUUCUAGAAUCAGGGAGAGGUAAGCGGAAUUCUAAGUGUAGGGGUGCAAUCCGUAGAUACUUAGAAGAACACCAAAAGCGAAGGCAGCUUACUGGAACUGUAUUGACACUGAGGAACGAAAGCGUGGGUAGCGAGAAGGAUUAGAUACCCUUGUAGUCCACGCCCUAAACGAUGAUAACUAAGUGUUGCAACUUGAUUGCAGUGCUGAAGCUAACGCAUUAAGUUAUCCACCUGAGGAGUACGGUCGCAAGAUUAAAACUCAAAGGAAUAGACGGGGACCCACACAAGCAGUGGAUCACGUGGUUUAAUUCGAUAAUAAACGGGGAACCUUACCCAGACUUGACAUCCCAAGAAUCUUUUAGAAAUAGAAGAGUGCCUUUAUUGGAACUUGGUGACAGGUGCUGCAUGGUUGUCGUCAGCUCGUGCCUUGAGGUGUUCGGUUAAGUCCGUUAACGAGCGCAACCCAUGUCAUUAGUUAUUAUGUCUAAUGAGACUGCCUUGGUUAACAAGGAGGAAGGUGUGGAUGACGUCAAAUCAGCAUGGCUCUUACGUCUGGGGCUACACACAUGAUACAAUGGUGUAUACAAAGAGUAGCUACAUCGCAAGAUGAUGCAAAUCUCUUAAAAUACAUCUAAGUCCGGAUUGAAGUCUGAAACUCGACUUCAUGAAGUUGGAAUUGCUAGUAAUCGUGAAUCAGAUAUGUCACGGUGAAUAUGUUCCUGGGUCUUGUACUCACCGCCCGUCACGGCAUGGGAGGUAGUAACAUCGGAAGCUCCCUUAGUAAUAUAGGGGUCCAUGGUGGGACUACUGACUGGGCUGAAGUCGUAACAAGGUA
rnacentral:rRNA from 1 species